UAGGGAAUAUUGGACAAUGGGGGCAACCCUGAUCCAGCCAUGCCGCGUGAGUGAAGAAGGCCCUCGGGUUGUAAAGCUCUUUUGUCCGGAAAGAAAAGCUUCGGGUUAAUACCCCGGGGUUCUGACGGUACCGGAAGAAUAAGCACCGGCUAACUUCGUGCCAGCAGCCGCGGUAAUACGAAGGGUGCAAGCGUUACUCGGAAUUACUGGGCGUAAAGCGGGCGUAGGUGGUUGUUUAAGUCUGAUGUGAAAGCCCUGGGCUCAACCUGGGAAUGGCAUUGGAAACUGGGCAGCUUGAGUGCGGUAGAGGGUAGUGGAAUGCCCGGUGUAGCAGUGAAAUGCGUAGAGAUCGGGAGGAACAUCUGUGGCGAAGGCGACUGCCUGGACCAGCACUGACACUGAGGCACGAAAGCGUGGGGAGCAAACA
rnacentral:rRNA from 1 species